UGGCUAACUCCUACGGGAGGCAGCAGUGGGGAAUAUUGGACAAUGGGGGGAACCCUGAUCCAGCCAUGCCGCGUGUGUGAAGAAGGCCUUAUGGUUGUAAAGCACUUUAAGCGAGGAGGAGGGUGCUGGUAUUAAUACUACCAGCUACUGGACGUUACUCGCAGAAUAAGCACCGGCUAACUCUGUGCCAGCAGCCGCGGUAAUACAGAGGGUGCGAGCGUUAAUCGGAUUUACUGGGCGUAAAGCGUGCGUAGGCGGCUAAUUGAGUCGGAUGUGAAAUCCCCGAGCUUAACUUGGGAAUUGCAUUCGAUACUGGUUAGCUAGAGUGUGGGAGAGGAUGGUAGAAUUCCAGGUGUAGCGGUGAAAUGCGUAGAGAUCUGGAGGAAUACCGAUGGCGAAGGCAGCCAUCUGGCCUAACACUGACGCUGAGGUACGAAAGCAUGGGGAGCAAACAGGAUUAGAUACCCGUGUAGUCCAGCUGG
rnacentral:rRNA from 1 species